rnacentral:lncRNA from 1 species
AGUAAUUCAGUUUGUAUAACUACAAUUCAUCAAACAUGCAAUUUACAAAAAAUUUUGAAAGUGAAGAACAUGAACUCUUUUUAUAAACAUACAACUCAAGGUUGAGAGGUUAUACCUUCAAUUUCUUGGAGAUAAUCCUUGAUAAACACAGUGAAUUGCCUUGGAAUCACAAAAAUUUUCUUUCAAGUUUUUUCUCAAAC